rnacentral:rRNA from 1 species
CCUACGGGAGGCAGCAGUGAGGAAUAUUGGUCAAUGGCCGCAGGGCUGAACCAGCCAAGUCGCGUGAGGGAUGACGGUCCUAUGGAUUGUAAACCUCUUUUGUCAGGGAGCAAAGGGCGCCACGUGUGGCGCUUUGCGAGUACCUGAAGAAAAAGCAUCGGCUAACUCCGUGCCAGCAGCCGCGGUAAUACGGAGGAUGCGAGCGUUAUCCGGAUUUAUUGGGUUUAAAGGGUGCGCAGGCGGAAUGUCAAGUCAGCGGUAAAAUUUCGGGGCUCAACCCCGUCGUGCCGUUGAAACUGGGGGGCUUGAGUAUGUUUGAGGCAGGCGGAAUGCGUGGUGUAGCGGUGAAAUGCUUAGAUAUCACGCAGAACCCCGAUUGCGAAGGCAGCCUGCCAAGCCAUGACUGACGCUGAUGCACGAAAGCGUGGGGAUCAAACAGGAUUAGAUACCCGGGUAGUC